rnacentral:rRNA from 1 species
GACGAACGCUUGCGGCGUGCCUGAGAAAUGCAAGUCGAACGGGUGGGCUCUUUCGGGAGCCGACCAGUGGCGAACGGUCGCGUAACACGUAGGCAACCUGCCUCGAAGUGGGGGAUACCAGCUCGAAAGGGCUGCUAAUACCGCAUGGGGCCACGGGAUCGCAUGGUUUCGUGUCUAAAGGGUCUUUAUAGAUUCGCUUCGAGAUGGGCUUGCGGCCUAUCAGCUAGUUGGUGGGGUAACGGCCUACCAAGGCGGUGACGGGUAGCUGGUCUGAGAG